AUUUUGUCAGUGCGGAGGUCGUGGAUCCUCACCCUGGAAGGCCCAAGAUGAGCGCAGAGAAGGGAAAGGGGAGGAAGGACGCCUGCCCUGAGCACGAGUCCACUCCGAGGGAAGGUGAGCCGGGCCUGGAAUCUGACUGCACAGCUGUCCCAGAAAAAGACCCCAAGUCAGCUACUUAUGGAUACUUUCUAGAAGAAAGGGAUGUACCAAAAUUCUGGCAGAACACACAGGCCAUGCAGAGACGAAUGACAGAGAUUUUCAAAUGUGGAACCAGACUGCCGGCUUGAGA